UUCGCCUAGCCCUUUUAAUUGUGUUGUUAGGGUUUGCAUCAUUUGCAUCAUGACAUUUUGGGGUAUGGCUGCGUUUUCUCCCACAGAAACCAAAAAUGAAAACUUCAAAAACAAGAAACUAACAAUCACUAAUGCUGAAUGAGACAAGAAAAUGAAAAUCUUUUUUUUUUUUUUAAUAAAUUUUAAGAUACUAAGAAAAUACUAGCUAGCAAUGAUAAUGACGCAAAAAUUCAAAGGGAAAUAAUAUUUUUUUGUUAAAUCAAAUAAAAAAUAUUAGAAAUCAAAACUAUCGAAAUAAAAAUAGAAAAAGAUAAACCUGGCAAGGGAAGAGCGUGAACUUACCAGAUGAUACAAGACUUGGUAGUGAGCUUGUGUUAUGAUAAAGAUGAUGGC
rnacentral:lncRNA from 1 species